UCAUUAUCAACCCUCAAGCGCGGCUUGCUGUUGGGUCCCACCGCUGUGAAGAUGGUGGAUCCGAAAGAUAAUGGCAGAGUCUGUAGGACCCUGGAUGCAGCGAGCUUCUAGCACGCAUCUGGAGCGUCUACAGGCUCGGUCUUAACCGAUGAACUUUUCUGGUUGACCUCGGAUCAGGUAGGGAUACCCGCUGAACUUAA
rnacentral:misc_RNA from 1 species